rnacentral:rRNA from 1 species
UACGUAGGGUGCAAGCGUUGUCCGGAAUCAUUGGGCGUAAAGCGCGCGUAGGUGGCCAUUUAAGUCCGCUGUGAAAGUCAAAGGCUCAACCUUUGAAAGCCGGUGGAUACUGGAUGGCUAGAGUACGGAAGAGGCGAGUGGAAUUCCUGGUGUAGCGGUGGAAUGCGCAGAUAUCAGGAGGAACACCAAUAGCGAAGGCAGCUCGCUGGGACGUUACUGACGCUGAUGCACGAAAGCUAGGGGAGCAAACAGG